GACAGUUGUUGGCCCAGUCCUGUCCAUCUACUUCAACCUGAUUGGCCGAGGCUGAGGACGGAGCAGGAAAGGGAGGCCGGGUUCUGAGGGAAGCCCUCCCAGGUCGGCUCCACCAGCGAGACGCACAGGUAGAACGACACUGUUGCCCUCAACGGACUGGAGGCGACUGGGUCCCCACGCAGGCACCGGGCCUCGCUCAUCCUUCGCCAGUUCGGUGCGGCGUGCACUGGUGUCCUCGGCGUGUCUCGGUCAGCCGCCCCGUGAACCAGGUGGAGCCCGCUUGACCGUUUGGGAGACGGAGGUUAGGGCGCCUUGCCAAGGCCUUUCAGCUAGUGGAGGGGCCUCCAGCAGACUCUGGAACAGUCUCGCCUGCCAGACUUCCCAAAGGCGAGGUGUAUGGGAUCGUCCGGCAACCAGUCCCGUUCGAACAGCUCCCACAAUUGCCCUUCUUCGUCUCCUCCUUGUCCCUAGAAGCAAAUCCUUAAUCGUUAGGCAAAGCCCUUGGGAUCUGCCCAUGCAGGGACUGUGCUUCUGCCUCCAGCCAUGCCACAGUGACUCCCAGGCACAGAAUCCCCUUCCUUCACCGAAGUCCUCUUUCCGUCUCAGCUCAAAGCUCACUGUCUCCCUGUUUAUGUCACCACACACACCCACCUCUGCUGCUGCUUGCCCUGGUGCAUCGUGGCUGUGUCCUGCUCUGGUGCUGUCAAUUAUAUGUCUGCCCCAUGCAA